CUUUCAUCUGUGAUGUAGAUGAGUGUGCACAAAAAACACUUGUGCGUGAAGGAGAUUUAAGUGGAAAAGUCGGUGCAGAGACAGUCCCACUCUCUCGGCGUUGGAAGCCUGGGUCCAGUGGCAUGAAAAAUCACCUGGAGACUUCCUCAGCUGCAUUGGAUGGCCGUGUUGUCUUUUGUGUUCCAACAUGCCCUAAGCACUCCACAGUGCUUUGCUGUGUCGCCCUCUCAGCUGUUGAACCUUCUUAUUGGUUUCUUCUGUCUGUUCGGCCAAAGCAAUCUUCACAUGCUGGGUAAUUGAGAAUUGAAGAAGAGGAUCUUUACUAGGGGUUGAUGGGAUGGUAUUAACUGGUAAGAGAGAAGAAUGCAAAGCUGCUUCAAUCUUCUUUUAUAUAGGAGAAUGACCUCAAGGAACAACACAACCCAAAAUGAUCAAGAGGAAGAAGAUAGAUAAGGGAAGGAAGGAGGUGACAAGGCAUGGCUUAGCUGCCCUAGUUGAAUUCAAGUCCCCUGACCCAGAUGAACCACAUCCCGAGGUACUAAGAGAACUGGGAGAUGAGAUCAUUGAGCCACACUCAAAUGAUCUUUGAAAGAUCACAGGUUUAUUUCCUAAAGUGAUUAUGGAAAAAGGAAAAGAAACUGUAUGUUCUAAAAUGGCAGCUCUUUUCUGUGGUGGCAAAGAACUGGAAACUGAAGGCAUGUCUGUCCAUCGCUCAGGGAAUGGCUGAACAAGCUGUGGUAUUUGAUUGCAGUAGACUAGUAGUGUGCCACAAGAAAUGACAAACAAGAGGAUCACAAAAAACCCUCCAAAGACUUAUAUGAAGUGAUGCAGAGUGAAGUGAGCAGAACCAGGAGAACAUUGUAUACAGUAACAGCAACGUUUGAUGAUCAACUGUGAAUGACUUAACUAUGCUCAACAAGGCAAGGAUCCAGGACAAUUCCAAGGGAUUCAUGACCAAAAAGACUAUUGACCACCACAGAAGUCUGAAUGCAGAUUGAGAUGUACCAUUCUUCAUUUUAUUUCCUCCGUGAAUUUUUCUCUAGUAUAGCAAUAUGUGUCUUGUUUCACAACUUGAUGAACAGGGAUUGAAUAUGUAUUAAAUGAUAAUAUGUUUAUAGCCUGUAUCACAUUGUUUUCC
rnacentral:lncRNA from 1 species